CCGGCGAUGUCCGAAUGGGGAAACCCAGUGCAAUUCGUUGCACUAUCGUUAACUGAAUACAUAGGUUAACGAGGCGAACCGGGGGAACUGAAACAUCUAAGUACCCCGAGGAAAAGAAAUCAACCGAGAUUCCCCCAGUAGCGGCGAGCGAACGGGGAGCAGCCCAGAGUCUGAAUCAGCUUGUGUGUUAGUGGAACGGUCUGGAAAGUCCGACGGUACAGGGUGAUAGUCCCGUACACCAAAAUGCACAGGUUGUGAACUCGAAGAGUAGGGCGGGACACGUGGUAUCCUGUCUGAAUAUGGGGGGACCAUCCUCCAAGGCUAAAUACUCCUGACUGACCGAUAGUGAACCAGUACCGUGAGGGAAAGGCGAAAAGAACCCCGGCGAGGGGAGUGAAAAAGAACCUGAAACCGUGUACGUACAAGCAGUGGGAGCACCUUCGGGUGUGACUGCGUACCUUUUGUAUAAUGGGUCAGCGACUUAUAUUCUGUAGCAAGGUUAACCGUAUAGGGGAGCCGCAGGGAAACCGAGUCUUAACUGGGCGUUAAGUUGCAGGGUAUAGACCCGAAACCCGGUGAUCUAGCCAUGGGCAGGUUGAAGGUUGGGUAACACUAACUGGAGGACCGAACCGACUAAUGUUGAAAAAUUAGCGGAUGACUUGUGGCUGGGGGUGAAAGGCCAAUCAAACCGGGAGAUAGCUGGUUCUCCCCGAAAGCUAUUUAGGUAGCGCCUCGUGAACUCAUCUUCGGGGGUAGAGCACUGUUUCGGCUAGGGGGUCAUCCCGACUUACCAACCCGAUGCAAACUACGAAUACCGAAGAAUGUUAUCACGGGAGACACACGGCGGGUGCUAACGUCCGUCGUGAAGAGGGAAACAACCCAGACCGCCAGCUAAGGUCCCAAAGUCAUGGUUAAGUGGGAAACGAUGUGGGAAGGCACAGACAGCCAGGAUGUUGGCUUAGAAGCAGCCAUCAUUUAAAGAAAGCGUAAUAGCUCACUGGUCGAGUCGGCCUGCGCGGAAGAUGUAACGGGGCUAAACCAUGCACCGAAGCUGCGGCAGCGACACUAUGUGUUGUUGGGUAGGGGAGCGUUCUGUAAGCCUGCGAAGGUGACCUGUGAGGGUUGCUGGAGGUAUCAGAAGUGCGAAUGCUGACAUAAGUAACGAUAAAGCGGGUGAAAAGCCCGCUCGCCGGAAGACCAAGGGUUCCUGUCCAACGUUAAUCGGGGCAGGGUGAGUCGACCCCUAAGGCGAGGCCGAAAGGCGUAGUCGAUGGGAAACAGGUUAAUAUUCCUGUACUUGGUGUUACUGCGAAGGGGGGACGGAGAAGGCUAUGUUAGCCGGGCGACGGUUGUCCCGGUUUAAGCAUGUAGGCUGAUUGUCCAGGCAAAUCCGGAUAAUCAAGGCUGAGGUGUGAUGACGAGGCACUACGGUGCUGAAGUAACAAAUGCCCUGCUUCCAGGAAAAGCCUCUAAGCAUCAGGUAACAUCAAAUCGUACCCCAAACCGACACAGGUGGUCAGGUAGAGAAUACCAAGGCGCUUGAGAGAACUCGGGUGAAGGAACUAGGCAAAAUGGUGCCGUAACUUCGGGAGAAGGCACGCUGGUGUGUAGGUGAAGCCCCUGCGGGUGGAGCUGAGACCAGUCGAAGAUACCAGCUGGCUGCAACUGUUUAUUAAAAACACAGCACUGUGCAAACACGAAAGUGGACGUAUACGGUGUGACGCCUGCCCGGUGCCGGAAGGUUAAUUGAUGGGGUUAUCCGUAAGGAGAAGCUCUUGAUCGAAGCCCCGGUAAACGGCGGCCGUAACUAUAACGGUCCUAAGGUAGCGAAAUUCCUUGUCGGGUAAGUUCCGACCUGCACGAAUGGCGUAAUGAUGGCCAGGCUGUCUCCACCCGAGACUCAGUGAAAUUGAACUCGCUGUGAAGAUGCAGUGUACCCGCGGCAAGACGGAAAGACCCCGUGAACCUUUACUAUAGCUUGACACUGAACAUUGAGCCUUGAUGUGUAGGAUAGGUGGGAGGCUUUGAAGCGUGGACGCCAGUCUGCGUGGAGCCAACCUUGAAAUACCACCCUUUAAUGUUUGAUGUUCUAACGUUGGCCCCUUACCGGGGUUGCGGACAGUGUCUGGUGGGUAGUUUGACUGGGGCGGUCUCCUCCCAAAGCGUAACGGAGGAGCACGAAGGUUAGCUAAUCCUGGUCGGACAUCAGGAGGUUAGUGCAAUGGCAUAAGCUAGCUUGACUGCGAGCGUGACGGCGCGAGCAGGUGCGAAAGCAGGUCAUAGUGAUCCGGUGGUUCUGAAUGGAAGGGCCAUCGCUCAACGGAUAAAAGGUACUCCGGGGAUAACAGGCUGAUACCGCCCAAGAGUUCAUAUCGACGGCGGUGUUUGGCACCUCGAUGUCGGCUCAUCACAUCCUGGGGCUGAAGUAGGUCCCAAGGGUAUGGCUGUUCGCCAUUUAAAGUGGUACGCGAGCUGGGUUUAGAACGUCGUGAGACAGUUCGGUCCCUAUCUGCCGUGGGCGCUGGAGAAUUGAGGGGGGCUGCUCCUAGUACGAGAGGACCGGAGUGGACGCAUCACUGGUGUUCGGGUUGUCAUGCCAAUGGCACUGCCCGGUAGCUAAAUGCGGAAGAGAUAAGUGCUGAAAGCAUCUAAGCACGAAACUUGCCCCGAGAUGAGUUCUCCCUGAGACUUUAAGUCUCCUGAAGGAACGUUGAAGACGACGACGUUGAUAGGCCGGGUGUGUAAGCGCAGCGAUGCGUUGAGCUAACCGGUACUAAUGAGCCGUGAGGCUUAACCUU
rnacentral:rRNA from 1 species